rnacentral:tRNA from 1 species
GGUUGUGGCUCAGUGGUAGAGCACUUGCCUAGCAUGUAUGAGGCACUGGGUUCAAUCCUCACCACCA